GUCUAAAGAACUAAGCCAUGCAUGUCUAAGUAUAAGCAGAUUAUACUGCGAGACUGCGGACGGCUCAUUAAAACAGUCACAAUCUAUUCGAUGAUUCUUACUACUCGGAUAACCGUAGUAAUUCUACAGCUAAUACGUGCACAAACACCAGGCUCUGCCUAGUGGUAUUUAUUAGAUCAAACGCCAAUAGACUUACGUCUUUCGGUGAAUCAUAGUAACUUCUCGGAUCGGUCUCAGACCGACAAAUCGUUCGAAUUUCUGCCCUAUCAGCUUUCGAUGGUAGGAUAGAGGCCUACCAUGGCUUUAACGGGUGACGGAGAAUUAGGGUUCGAUUCCGGAGAGGGAGCCUGAGAAACGGCUACCACAUCCAAGGAAGGCAGCAGGCGCGCAAAUUACCCAAUCCCGACUCGGGGAGGUAGUGACAAGAAAUAACAAUAGCCGGUUAAUUACGAUUGGCUAAUUGGAAUGAGUACAAUUUAAAUCUCUUAACGAGGAUCCAUU
rnacentral:rRNA from 1 species